GUGCUCUCUUCGGCAGCACAUGUACUAAAAUCGGAAUGGUACAGAGAAGAUUAGCAUGGCCCCUGCACAAGGAUGACAUGCAAAUUCACGAAGUGUUCCAUAAAAAA